UGUCCCAUGGCUUAGUUGGUUACGGCGUCCGACUGUUAUUUCAUAACUUACGGUAUCGGAAGAUCGAGAGUUCAAGUCUCUCUGGGACAG